ensembl:lincRNA A130014A01Rik RIKEN cDNA A130014A01 gene
ACUCGAUAAGGCUUCCCGCCGCACCAUACAUAGAUGAAGUUUGUGGCGACUCCGAUUCUCUUUUUAAGGAUGUCGGUGCCAGGUGGAGGAGGGAGAACUACGGAGAUGAAGGAUAGAGGCGCGGGGGUGGAAGCAACUGAGCCAGAGGGCGUUUGGGAGCCCGAGGCAGCGCCCUGGACCGGAGAUGGGACUCCUGGGUCCAGGCUUGCACACCUCCAUGCCCAGGUCGCUGGAGCGUCGCUGCGACCCCUUCCUGAUGACCGGCCAGAGUUUUGCGGAGGUAGAAACGAGUGUUUUUAUAACCUUCACCCGUCCCCUGCCUCUUGAGUCCCCUGACAGACUUAGCACAAUUUGUCCAGGGCAGAGAAGUGUUUGGUAGUUAAACUGGCAAACGCAAGGUGUGCUGUGAUACUAAAAAGGGCUAUAAUGACAGCUCCGGGAUCUAGCCCAUUGGGGUACGCACGCCAUCUUCGCUGGGUUUCCUGUCCCCGCGCCCAGAAACUGCUAUUCGAGACAUAUUUUUGGAAAUAAGGGUGCAUUAGAUUAACUGCUCCAAAAUUACAGCUUUUAAGUUUAGGCAUAAAAGUGCACGCCUAAGUCCCAGCACUCAGGAGGCUGAGGCAGGAGGAUUCAGAGUUCGAGACCACUCUAGACUAUAUAGUAAUGCCAUCUUGAAAAAAAAAAAAAGCAUCUUUUGGGUUUGAAAAAUUAUGGUUACAUCUUUUUAAUCUUAUUUAAUUCUUUCUUUAAUUCUUAUGUCUGUGGGUGUUCUGCCCGCAUAUAUAUAUCUGUGUACCACGUGCAUGCUCGAGGAGGGCAUUUAGAUACCCUGGAACUGGCGUAAGCAGUUUUGAGUUGGCUUAUGGGUGCUAAGAAACCAAACCUAGGUUUUCUGGAAGGACCACCUCUAAGCAGACUCGCAGGCUCUGUAGCCCCUUUUGUGAUUACGUCUUGUGCAUCCAUAUGCUCACUAUGGUACCAACCUUUCAGGUGCCUCUUGUUUGGCCUGCCCUAGGUAGCUAUUUCCUCAGGAUGGAAAGCGGGGCUCAGGACACCCAUAAGACCGGGAGGUCUUGUGGAUCAUGUAAGGAGUACACUGUUGCUGGUUAGAGGAGACUUUCUGGAGCCUUGCAGGCUGUGUCAUGAGCAUGUUUUCCCAUGCUAGGGUGGACUUCUCAGUGUUGGCAAUGCCUCAGUUACCCAUACACCUCUAAAUAGCCAUGCACUUGUAGGUAACCCCGAUGAGCUUAGCAGUUCACUGAGGCGGACCUGAAUGGAAUUGAGGCAGAAUAGAAAGACAGGGACUUCAAGGACCCUGGGAACAGAAAAAAGCCCUCACCCUGACCUUUCUUGCUCGCUGAGAGUUAAGAAACCAGCAAGAUUGAUAAAGGCAGUAUUGCCUCCAGAGACAGUGUGUUUUCCUCAAGACAACACAAACAGGAUGUUAAAAACAGGAAAUAAAUUGUGCACACUCACGGUCAGAGUGUUUGUGCGGAUCUAGCUUAGCUAAAUAAUAAAAGCACCUUACUCAGCAAGAGACCCUGUCUUGAAAAAUCCCCCAUCCCUUGAGGACCUCUGGCCUUGGAGUACCCAGGCAGACAUACAAAUGCACACACACACACAUACACACACACACAAGAAUAAAAUAUAAGCUUGACUUGGAGAUGGUUGGAGAGGUGGCUCUGUAAUUAAUAGCACUUGCUGCUUUUGCAGAGGACCCAUGUAUGGUUCCCAAUACUCACACAAUAGCUCACAACUAUCUGGGCUACAGUUCCAGGGGACAUGAUGCCCUCCUCUGACCUUGGAGGCACAUGCUGCACAUUCAUACAUACAUACAUACAUACAUACAUACAUACAUACAUGUGUGCAAAACACUCAUAUACAUAAAAUUAAAAAAAUUUUUUUAAGUUACCAGCUCAUGUAUUUUACUUAACAUUAACUUAUGUAAUUAGUUAUUUUGAGGCAGGAUCUCAUAUAGCCCGGGUUAGCCUCAGACUUACCAUGAAGCCUGGGGUUCCAUCCCCUGUACUGAAUAACCUUGGUAGUGGUCAUGAUAACUCAUGCUUGUAGUUUCAACGCUUGGAAAGUGAAGGUGGGAAGAUCAGAAGUUCAAGGCCAUCCUCCUUUACAAAAUGUUAAGCUUUGAUUACUCUUGAAAGCUUAUAAACUGCAUCUUUUGAAGAAUGUGACUUAACAGGCUGUAGGUUGCUAUGUGCGGCCAUUGUGAAGACAGCUAAGUACGACUUCCUGGAAAAAGCCCACACACCCAUCAUGAGACUAUAUUAUCCUUCUCCUCUGUGACUGUCUCCAUACUUAAUAAAGUCACUAGCUUUGCUUCU